rnacentral:misc_RNA from 1 species
UGUAACGCCCGCGGGCUGAGUA